CACCUGUCUGCCGUUUUUCUUCGCAGCUGACUGGUCGGAGUGAGUGAGUUCCCGCUCGUUGGUUCAGUGUUUUCAGCGGCAUUUCAUCUCCUCCAUGGUCCUUUCGCACCGAAAUUGACUCAUUCACGAUCAUAGGUCUUCCGAUGACGUCGCCACUGACCUGAGGCUCCCGGCAAAGAAGUGGCCGAGAGCAUGGCGGUGAUGACCGGCGUAGUGCAGGAAUUCCUGCCGUCUGCUCUCGACGGGGUCGGCAACGAGAGCUCGCCGACGCCAUCCAUCAUCGUUCCGGAGUACUUCUGCAAGUGGAUCCUGUACCACGAGAUCCCGGGCUCGCGGGUGCGCGUCUGGGACCUGAGCAUCCUGGUGCCCAACGUGUUCUUCCUCCUGUUCAUGGUCCUGCGCUUCAACCGGGCUCGGCUCAAGCUCAGGGCCACCAGCAGCCCCACCUUCUCCACCUUUUACGUCCUGGUGUCAGUGAAUGCAGUCAUCAGCGUCAUCCGAUGCGUGGUGUCUAUGACGGUGAACGCUGCUGCGCCUGUAGGUGGAGUCGCCGACAAGGUCUUGUGGGUGGCUGUGAGGUUUUUUCUGCUCUCCACUGAGAUGAGUGUGCUCAUCUUUGGGCUUGCCUUUGGUCAUUUGGACAGUCGGACAAGCAUACAGAGGGUUCUGACGAUGACCUCGCUCGUUGCAUUCCUGUACUCCGGCACCCAGGGGGUGCUGGAGUUUGUGAUGCCGGACAGGAAGUUCUUUGUGCCAGACAAGAACUUUGAGCUGUUCGGCCACGGGGGGAUGCUCUUCUGGUUCGUCAGCUCGGUGGUCUUUGCAGCGGUGUACCUGGCGGUUUUCUCCCUCCCGUGGACGAGGCUGCGGGACAGGCUAGCCCUGCCGUCCAAGCGGAGCUUUUACUGGUAUGCUCUGUUCCUGGCUUUGCUCAACCUGGCCCAGGCCUCUGGGUCCGGCCUCUACUACUACGACGUCAACGAGGGCGUCUGCGUGGUGGAUGUGACCAGCUACAUUUACUUCACCAUCUUCACGCCCCUUGUCUACAAAACAUUCCUUGCCGACUUUUUCAGCAUCUCGCAGCCGAGCAUCCUGUUCUCGUACAAGGCGCAGACGGACGAACCGAUCGAGGACGAUAACGUGAGCCUUCCUCACCAGCUGUCCUGCUCCUCCCUCAAGACGGACUCAGACUACAUCUACCAGCACGCUCCUCACUUCCUGUCACUCUGAAGUCACACCUGCAUGGUUUGCCCAACCCUAGACGGUGUCCGCCGCCACCUGCAAAACAACUCGGUGUACGACAGCACCCACUUCGACUCGGCCAACGUCAACCCGCUGUACGCGCAGUCGCUGCAGUCUCCGGACAGCGU
rnacentral:misc_RNA from 1 species